rnacentral:rRNA from 1 species
UACGUAGGGUGCAAGCGUUAAUCGGAAUUACUGGGCGUAAAGCGUGCGCAGGCGGUUAUGUAAGACAGGGUGUGAAAAUCCCCCGGGCUUAACCCUGGGGAACUGCAUUUGUGACUGCAUAGCUAGAGUACGGUAGAGGGGAUGGAAUUCCGCGUGUAGCAGUGAAAUGCGUAGAUAUGCGGAGGAACACCGAUGGCGAAGGCAAUCCCCUGGACCUGUACUGACGCUCAUGCACGAAAGCGUGGGGGAGCAAACAGG